rnacentral:rRNA from 1 species
AGAGUUUGAUCCUGGCUCAGGACGAACGCUGGCGGCGUGCCUAACACAUGCAAGUCUGGGAGAAAGGGGUAGCAAUAUCCCGAGUAAACCGGCGAACGGGUGAGGAACACGUAGGCAACUUACCUUGUGAACGGGGAUAACCCCGGGAAACCGGGGCUAAUACCCGAUGAUGUUUUACCAUAGCAUUAUGGGAAAGCCAAAAACCCCAAAAGGGUGUCACAAGAUAGGCCUGCGUCCCAUUAGAUAGUUGGUGGGGUAAUGGCCCACCAAGUCUAUGAUGGGUAGCUGGUCUGAGAGGACGAUCAGCCACACUGGAACUGAGACACGGUCCAGACUUCUACGGAAGGCAGCAGUGAGGAAUAUUGCUCAAUGGGCGAAAGCCUGAAGCAGCGACGCCGCGUGAGGGAUGAAAUCCGUUAGGAUGUAAACCUCUUUUGCAGGGGAAGAAUGUCCCGCUCAGCGGGAUUGACGGUACCCUGCGAAUAAGCACCGGCCAACUACGUGCCAGCAGCCGCGGUAAUACGUAGGGUGCAAGCGUUGUCCGGAAUUACUGGGUGUAAAGGGUGCGUAGGUGGCGGGGCAAGUUUGAUGUGAAAUCUCCGAGCUUAACUCGGAAACUGCAUUGAAUACUGCCUUGCUAGAGGGUCGAAGGGGAGACUGGAAUUCUCGGUGUAGCGGUGAAAUGCGUAGAUAUCGAGAGGAACGCCAGUGGCGAAAGCGAGUCUCUGGACGACCCCUGACACUGAGGCACGAAAGCUAGGGGAGCAAACGGGAUUAGAUACCCCGGUAGUCCACGCUAUAAACGAUGAGGGCUGGGUGUUGGUUCCAUUUGGAAUCAGUGCCGAAGCAAACGCGUUAAGCCCUCCGCCUGGGGACUACGAUCGCAAGAUUAAAACUCAAAGGAAUUGACGG